rnacentral:rRNA from 1 species
ACGAACGCUGGCGGCGUGCCUAAUACAUGCAAGUCGAACGGUCUUUCUAUGGAAGCUUGCUUCCACUGAGAAGAUAGUGGCGAACGGGUGAGUAACACGUGGGUAACCUGCCCAUAAGAGGGGGAUAACAUCCGGAAACGGGUGCUAAUACCGCAUAGUUUUCUUGAUCGCAUGAUUGAGAAAGGAAAGACGGCCUUUGUGCUGUCGCUUAUGGAUGGACCCGCGGCGUAUUAGUUAGUUGGUGAGGUAACGGCUCACCAAGACGAUGAUACGUAGCCGACCUGAGAGGGUGAUCGGCCACAUUGGGACUGAGACACGGCCCAAACUCCUACGGGAGGCAGCAGUAGGGAAUCUUCCGCAAUGGACGAAAGUCUGACGGAGCAACGCCGCGUGAGUGAAGAAGGUUUUUCCGGAUCGUAAAACUCUGUUGUCAGAGAAGAACAAGUUGGAGAGUAACUGCUCCAGCCUUGACGGUAUCUGACCAGAAAGCCACGGCUAACUACGUGCCAGCAGCUGC